GCUAAAUUACUUCCUGUUGGUUGACUUCCGGUAUUUGUUCGAAAGCUAGAGAUACACUUUGUGGUCUUCUGUAGUACUUUCUGUUGCCAUCCUACACAAAGCGGCGAAGAAGCAAUGCCCCCCUGGAGCAGGAAGACAUCUCACUUUUUGACAAGCAUCACCUACAUGUGUCCAAACAGCAGACACUGCAGGUGCUAAUGGGCUAGCAGCGGUGAAGUCGAGGUUGCCGUCAUCUACCGCCCGGAUGGUAGUCAGUCCUGCCUGGAGGAUGGUGCGCAACUUGUCAUACCUGGGUGUGUCCUGGUAGCCCAGAGACUUCACUUCCUCCAUGAACUUCUGCAGCUCGUCUACAACACACAACAACAAUCACUUCCUUUCCAAUGUGAGCCUCUAUUCUGUGUCUUUAGAUGGAGAAGGACUAAAUAAAGACAGGAGACUAUUUACUAAA